GCUGCCAACUUUUCAAGGUUCCUUAACUCACAAUGGCGACAUCCUUCUCUUUUUUGGUCAAUCUAUUCUAUAAAUAACACUUUUGUUUUUAAGACUCUUCAUUCAUUCCGUCUUUUACAUAAUAAUCUCUUACAAAGUAUGGAGUACAAAAAGAGACAGAUUAAAGAGAGAAAUAUUAUACACAAUGUUGAAGCAUCGAUCAAAAUAUCAAAGGUAUCAACAAAGCUACAAAUGAAUUUGAUGCACAUUAUUAAGGAUAUUAUUCAUUAGAUAGGAGAGAAUCAAACCAAGUAUCCAAAUUUGAUGGUGUAACAUUAUUAAGCACAUUAAGUAUGCAUCAAAGUCAAUCAAAUGAAAGCCCAUGAGAACUCGAUCAACUUGCUACGCUGCGCAUGUAAUUAAUUGUAGUAUGCUCAUGUCGAUCUUUUUACAAAUGGCUUUGUAAUAAAAAUUAUUAUGAAACUUAGAGGACGUAAAAUUAAAAAAUUAAAAAUUAGAGAAAUCAAUUGAUGUUUUUCUGUCAUGAUGAGUUAUAUAAUUAUCCAAUAUUUAUAUCCUAACACUUAUAAAGCUUCAUACUUUGAUUACUAUUCACUUAAUAGUUUAUUUACAUGCAUGCCCCUCAUUUCCUUCUUUGUUUUAUUUUGUCUUAUUCUUAACAAUAGAGCAUUUACGGUUUCACCCUUCCAUUGCUAUACAAAAUGUAUUGUUUUCUUUGGGUAUAAUUUCCUAUAUAUUGUACCUUCGAACUAUCAAUUAAAACGCAUAUGGUUUCUAUUUCUUGUUACAUGUAAAUCCAACAUCUAACUUUAACAUAUCAUUUCUAGCAUUUACCAUAAAUUGUAAGUUCCUAGCUUUUAAGUAACAUUUUUACAAAAAUAAUUUUGUAUACCUUGAGGGAUCGUGCGCUAGCGCGCACGAUCCAACAACUAGUUUUAAAAAAAAUUUAUUGGCAACAGAGAUGCUCCAUGGUCCAUCCGUACUGUGCAAUUUAUAUUUGGCAUAGAAGGACAACUUCGUCAUAUAUUGCGAAGAACGGGGUGCCAUUUUGUUGAGGUUAUUUUAGAGGAUAGAAUAUCAUUUGAGAUAAAGUUAUGUUAAAUACUUAUAUGAUAUGAGAUAGAAAUCUAUAAAACUUAGGAAUCCUACCAAGUGUAAAAUAUCUAGUUUGUAAUAUAAAUAGAGGCGUAUGUCCAUAGAUAAUAUGAGAUAAAUCAAUAUAUCCUCCAUAUUAUAACAUGGUAUCAACUAUCAAGAGACUAGAAGAUUCUAGGGACCGUGUACAAAAUUUUCCACCGGCGAGAUUCGUGAUACGGAUAAUAUUUCCGCUCUGAAUAUUGGGUAGGAGAAGACUCGUGGCUGGUGCGUGAAUUAUUGAAUCACAUCAAUAUAGAUUUUGUUCUUGGAUGUUUUGGCGCAUGGAUUUUGUGUCUUAAUUGGUUGAUUGGUUUUUUUCAUGGCACGGUGUUGAGUGUUUGCACGGUUAUUGAGGAAGUAUUUUCAGAUAUCGGAUAUGUGCUUGUAAAUGCAUAUCAUAGCAAAAGAAACAUAGGAAAAAUACAAAAAAGAAAUUGAAUGGUCCUUUUUUAAACAAAAAUGGUAUUUUUUUAUUUUUUUUAAGAAAAUGGUACUUUUUUAACAUAAAUGAUACUUCCUCCGUCUUUUAAUA